CCCUGGGGACACCCAAGUCACCCCUGGGGCCAGCCCUGGGGACACCAGGACAGCCUUGGGGACACCAGGACAGCCUUGGGGACACCCAAGUCACCCCUGGGGCCAGCCUUGGGGACACUUCCCACUCCGGACUUGGCUCCUCGGGGUUGUCCCUAAUUCUGGAAUGUCCCAGUUGGGAUUUCCCAGAUUUUCACUCAGGUCACUCCAGCAGGACUUUGCUCCUGGGGGUUUUCCCUAAAUCGGGAAUGUUCCAUUCAGGAAUUCCCAAGGAAAGCCAGGUUUAAUUCCCAAGGAAAGCCAGGUUUAAUUCCCGAUAAAAGCCAGGUUUAAUUCCUGAUAAAAGCCAGUUUUAAUUCCCGAUAAAAGCCAGGUUCAAUUCCUGAUAAAAACCAGGACUUUGCUCUUUGGGGUUUUCCCUAAUUCAGGAAUGUUCCAGUUGGAAUUCCUGCUAAAAGCCAGGUUUAAUUCCCAAGGAAAGCCAGGUUCAAUUCCUGCUAAAAGCCAGGUUUAAUUCCCAAGGAAAGCCAGGUUCAAUUCCUGCUAAAAGCCAGGUUUAAUUCCCAAGGAAAGCCAGGUUCAAUUCCUGCUAAAAGCAAGGUUUAAUUUCCGAUAAAAACCAGUUUUAAUUCCUGAUAAAAGCCAGGUUUAAUUCCUGAUAAAAGCCAGGACUUUGCUCUUUGGGGUUCUCCCUAAAUCAGGAAUGUUCCAUUCAGGAAUUUCUGAUAAAUGCCAGUUUUAAUUCCCAAGGAAAGCCAGGUUUAAUUCCCGAUAAAAGCCAGUUUUAAUUCCCAACGAAAGCCCAGGUUUAAUUCCCGAUAAAAGCCAGGUUUAAUUUCCAAUAAAAGCUGGGUUUCAUUCCGGAUAAAAGCCAGGUUUAAUUCCCGAUAAAAGCCAGGUUUAAUUUCCAGUAAAAGCCGGGUUUGCUGCAGGCUCUGGCCUUGGGCCCGGCUUUGGGGCCAGAGGCGUUCCCAGCAGUUCUGGGGUUUCCCAGGACCCCAAAUCGCCCCUCAGAGGGGUCCCAGGGCAGCAGUUCCCGACAAACGCAGCGGGAUUUCCGCCGGGAAUUUCCUUCUCUGCGGCUUUCUGAUUCAAAAUAAAUAAAUUUCAAAAUAAAGAUUGUUUUAGAAAUAAAA